rnacentral:rRNA from 1 species
UUUAUGGAGAGUUUGAUCCUGGCUCAGAGUGAACGCUGGCGGCGUGCCUAAUACAUGCAAGUCGAACGAUGAAGCUUCUAGCUUGCUAGAAUGCUGAUUAGUGGCGCACGGGUGAGUAACGCAUAGGUCAUGUGCCUCUUAGUUUGGGAUAGCCAUUGGAAACGAUGAUUAAUACCAGAUACUCCCUACGGGGGAAAGAUUUAUCGCUAAGAGAUCAGCCUAUGUCCUAUCAGCUUGUUGGUAAGGUAAUGGCUUACCAAGGCUAUGACGGGUAUCCGGCCUGAGAGGGUGAACGGACACACUGGAACUGAGACACGGUCCAGACUCCUACGGGAGGCAGCAGUAGGGAAUAUUGCUCAAUGGGGGAAACCCUGAAGCAGCAACGCCGCGUGGAGGAUGAAGGUUUUAGGAUUGUAAACUCCUUUUGUUAGAGAAGAUAAUGACGGUAUCUAACGAAUAAGCACCGGCUAACUCCGUGCCAGCAGCCGCGGUAAUACGGAGGGUGCAAGCGUUACUCGGAAUCACUGGGCGUAAAGAGCGCGUAGGCGGGAUAGUCAGUCAGGUGUGAAAUCCUAUGGCUUAACCAUAGAACUGCAUUUGAAACUACUAUUCUAGAGUGUGGGAGAGGUAGGUGGAAUUCUUGGUGUAGGGGUAAAAUCCGUAGAGAUCAAGAGGAAUACUCAUUGCGAAGGCGACCUGCUGGAACAUUACUGACGCUGAUUGCGCGAAAGCGUGGGGAGCAAACAGGAUUAGAUACCCUGGUAGUCCACGCCCUAAACGAUGGAUGCUAGUUGUUGGAGGGCUUAGUCUCUCCAGUAAUGCAGCUAACGCAUUAAGCAUCCCGCCUGGGGAGUACGGUCGCAAGAUUAAAACUCAAAGGAAUAGACGGGGACCCGCACAAGCGGUGGAGCAUGUGGUUUAAUUCGAAGAUACACGAAGAACCUUACCUAGGCUUGACAUUGAGAGAAUCCGCUAGAAAUAGUGGAGUGUCUAGCUUGCUAGACCUUGAAAACAGGUGCUGCACGGCUGUCGUCAGCUCGUGUCGUGAGAUGUUGGGUUAAGUCCCGCAACGAGCGCAACCCCCUUUCUUAGUUGCUAACAGGUUAUGCUGAGAACUCUAAGGAUACUGCCUCCGUAAGGAGGAGGAAGGUGGGGACGACGUCAAGUCAUCAUGGCCCUUACGCCUAGGGCUACACACGUGCUACAAUGGGGUGCACAAAGAGAAGCAAUACUGCGAAGUGGAGCCAAUCUUCAAAACGCCUCUCAGUUCGGAUUGUAGGCUGCAACUCGCCUGCAUGAAGCUGGAAUCGCUAGUAAUCGCAAAUCAGCCAUGUUGCGGUGAAUACGUUCCCGGGUCUUGUACUCACCGCCCGUCACACCAUGGGAGUUGUGUUUGCCUUAAGUCAGGAUGCUAAAUUAGCUACUGCCCACGGCACACACAGCGACUGGGGUGAAGUCGUAACAAGGUAACCGUAGGUGAACCUGCGGUUGGAUCACCUCCUUUCUAGA